rnacentral:piRNA from 1 species
AAUACUUGACUACGUGCACAGGC